rnacentral:piRNA from 1 species
UUGGCUGUUACAUUUUAUAAAUUUCAUAAGA